CAGGGAACGAGAAAAAAAAAAAAAAAAAAAAAAAAAAAAAAAAAAAAAAACUGU
rnacentral:ribozyme from 1 species